ACUUGGUGAUGUGGUCAUUAGCGCACAAGGUCCCUAAAGCACUACCAUGUCUCAAAAAAUUAUUCCUCAUCCAAUUGUGAGAAACUGGUGAUUACCUUCCUCAGCU